CCCAACACUGUUCUAAAGUGACUGUAAGGUU
rnacentral:piRNA from 1 species